rnacentral:rRNA from 1 species
UACAGAGGGGGCAAGCGUUGUUCGGAAUUACUGGGCGUAAAGGGCGCGUAGGCGGCCUGCUAAGUCGAACGUGAAAUCCCCGGGCUCAACCCGGGAACUGCGUCCGAUACUGGCAGGCUUGAAUUCGGGAGAGGGAUGUGGAAUUCCAGGUGUAGCGGUGAAAUGCGUAGAUAUCUGGAGGAACACCGGUGGCGAAGGCGGCAUCCUGGACCGAUAUUGACGCUGAGGCGCGAAAGCCAGGGGAGCAAACGGG